UAUGUUCAUCUGGCCUCCAGCUGACAGAGAUAGUCAUCUACUCUUGGGUAGCUAAAUUAUGGGGUAAGACUACAUUGGAUGCUCAGCUAAAAGUAUUUUAACACUUUCAUUUUUUUUUCAAUUAGUAAGCAUUAAUUUUCUCUAUCAAUUCCUUUCCCA
rnacentral:lncRNA from 1 species